rnacentral:rRNA from 1 species
GUACGGGAGGCAGCAGUGGGGAAUUUUGGACAAUGGGCGCAAGCCUGAUCCAGCAAUGCCGCGUGCAGGAUGAAGGCCUUCGGGUUGUAAACUGCUUUUGUACGGAACGAAAAGCCCUGGGUUAAUACCCUGGGGUCAUGACGGUACCGUAAGAAUAAGCACCGGCUAACUACGUGCCAGCAGCCGCGGUAAUACGUAGGGUGCAAGCGUUAAUCGGAAUUACUGGGCGUAAAGCGUGCGCAGGCGGUUUUGUAAGACAGAGGUGAAAUCCCCGGGCUCAACCUGGGAACUGCCUUUGUGACUGCAAGGCUAGAGUACGGCAGAGGGGGAUGGAAUUCCGCGUGUAGCAGUGAAAUGCGUAGAUAUGCGGAGGAACACCGAUGGCGAAGGCAAUCCCCUGGGCCUGUACUGACGCUCAUGCACGAAAGCGUGGGGAGCAAACAGGAUUAGAUACCCCGGUAGU